rnacentral:rRNA from 1 species
UACGUAGGGAGCAAGCGUUGUCCGGAAUCAUUGGGCGUAAAGCGCGCGUAGGCGGCCCCGUAAGUCCGCUGUGAAAGUCAAAGGCUCAACCUUUGAAAGCCGGUGGAUACUGUGGGCUAGAGUCCGGAAGAGGCGAGUGGAAUUCCUGGUGUAGCGGUGGAAUGCGCAGAUAUCAGGAGGAACACCAAUAGCGAAGGCAGCUCGCUGGGACGGUACUGACGCUAAGGCGCGAAAGCGUGGGGAGCGAACAGG